UAAGGAAUUUUGCGCAAUGGGAGCAAUCCUGACGCAGCAACGCCGCGUGGGUGAUGAAGGCCUUCGGGUCGUAAAGCCCUGUCAGGUGGGAAGAAUGUCCCGGAACUGAACAGGUUUCGGGAGUGACGGUACCACCAGAGGAAGCACCGGCUAACUCCGUGCCAGCAGCCGCGGUAAUACGGAGGGUGCAAGCGUUAUUCGGAAUUACUGGGCGUAAAGCGCGUGUAGGCGGUCCUGCAAGUCUGAUGUGAAAGCCCCGGGCUUAACCCGGGAAGUGCAUUGGAAACUGUGGGACUUGAGUACUGGAGAGGAUGGGGGAAUUCCCGGUGUAGAGGUGAAAUUCGUAGAGAUCGGGAGGAAUAUCAGUGGCGAAGGCGCCCAUCUGGACGGUAACUGACGCUGAGACGCGAAAGCGUGGGGAGCAAACA
rnacentral:rRNA from 1 species